rnacentral:rRNA from 1 species
GACGGAAGGUGCAAGCGUUGCUCGGAAUCACUGGGCGUAAAGGGUGCGUAGGCGGCCGCGCAAGUCUGGCGUGAAAGCCCCGGGCUCAGCCCGGGAAGGGCGCUCGAAACGGCGCGGGCUCGAGUGCCGGAGGGGAGAGUGGAAUUCCUGGUGUAGCGGUGAAAUGCGUAGAUAUCAGGAGGAACACCGGUGGUGUAGACGGCUUUCUGGACCGUAACUGACGCUGAGACAGAAAGCGUGGGUAGCAAACAGG